rnacentral:lncRNA from 1 species
AAAUAAAUAGAUUUUAUAAAAUUUUUUUAAAAAGUGAGACAAUAGUCAUGAGUAACAAGGGGGUAAGUUUCCUAGAGCCACAAAUUUCAUGGCUUAAAACAACAUCAAUUUAUUCUCUUACAGUUCUGGAGGCCAGAAAUUUGAAAUGAGUCUUAUGGAGCUGAAAUCAAGCACAAACCAAAGCUGGGCUUCAUCUGGAUGCUCUAUGAAAGAUUCCUUUGCUCGCCUCUUCCAAUUCCUGGUGGUUGCUGGCAUUCCUUGCAUUGUAGACUCGUCAUCCCAACGUCUUCCUCCUUGGCCCCAUUGCCUUCUCCUCUCCUGUGUGGGCAUCAUCAACUCUCCCUUUCCCUCCCUCUUAAAAGGAUAUGAAUGUGACUGCUUUAGGACCUACCUGGAUAAUUCAGAAUAAUCUCCCCAUCUCAAGACCCUUAACAUAAUCACAUAUGCAAAGAACUUCUCUUUUCUUUAAUCAUAUGAGUUAACAUGUACAAAUUUCAGAGAUGAGAACAUGGAUAUCUUUAGGGUGCCAUUUUUUCAGUCCAUUGGAAAUGGUAGAUGUGGAAGAAGAGGAGCUAAAAUUCAAUCAGACUAGGGGUCUGCAAUCUGUAGCCUGCAAGUCAGUGCCUGUUUUUGUAAAUAAAGUUUUAUUGGAGCACA